CCUACGGGUGGCAGCAGUCGAGAAUUUUUCUCAAUGGGCGAAAGCCUGAAGGAGCGACGCCGCGUGGAGGAUGAAGGUCUUCGGAUUGUAAACUCCUGUCAUUCGGGAACAAUGUGCAUGCGUUAACUGCGCGUGCAUUGAUAGUACCGGAAGAGGAAGAGACGGCUAACUCUGUGCCAGCAGCCGCGGUAAUACAGAGGUCUCAAGCGUUGUUCGGAUUCAUUGGGCGUAAAGGGUGCGUAGGCGGCGCCGUAAGUCAGGUGUGAAAUCUCGGGGCUCAACCCCGAAACUGCACUUGAUACUGCGGUGCUCGAGGACUCGAGAGGAGAUUGGAAUUCACGGUGUAGCAGUGAAAUGCGUAGAUAUCGUGAGGAAGACCAGUGGCGAAGGCGGAUCUCUGGAGAGUUCCUGACGCUGAGGCACGAAGGCCAGGGGAGCAA
rnacentral:rRNA from 1 species